GACCCUGUCCCAGAUGAGGAGAAAGGUUCACUUUGGGUAGCUUUGGAUGAGGUUACUGAUCCUCAGAAUUUAGGUGCCAUAAUUCGGUCAGCUUACUUCUUUGGAGCCUCAGGGGUGGUACUAUGUGCUAAAAAUUCAGCUCCAUUAAGCGGUGUCGUCAGCAAGGCAAGUGCUGGCUCACUUGAAUUAAUGGAGCUUAGAUAUUGUAAGAAUAUGAUGCAGUUCUUAGUUUCCUCGGCACAAAACGGUUGGCGGGUUCUCGGGGGUUCUGUUUCUCCAAGAGCUGUUCCCUUGAACAAGGUUUUGCCAGGCGUGCCAACCAUUCUUGUUUUAGGCAGUGAAGGCACUGGCUUGAGGCCUUUAGUGGAGAGAUCAUGCACUCAGUUAGUUAGAAUCCCAGGAAAUAUUCCUACAGACAUAACAACCGGAGAUGUUGAUGAUAUGGAAACUACGGAAGUAAAUUCCGUUUGGUCAAUCGAGGAAUUCCGAUCUUUUCUGGCUGUUGAGAGCUUGAAUGUGAGUGUUGCAGCAGGUGUGCUUCUUCACCACUUAAUUGGAAGUAGCCAUGGUAUUAGUUCUCCAAUUGAUAACAAGUUAACUGAAAUGCAUCAAUGAUAUUCCAUGGAUGAGGCAUUGAGCUUAGUAUCUAUGUUGUCAUGGUGAUUCUGACAUUGUAUUUGGUUUAUAUGCAGUGACAUGGUGAUUCUGUCAUUAGUUAAAUUCUUCAUUCAUUUCUCUUUGCUUGCAAAUUGCAG
rnacentral:lncRNA from 1 species